AUGGACCAUUCCAUCCCUUUUUCCCGUGCAUAUGCAUCGGACUCAGAUGACGAUGGUCCCGAUGAACAAGUUGAUGCGGAGGGGUUCACGGUGAAGGAGGCCGAAGCUUUCGAGAAGGUAUUUGGUCGGGAUCAUCGGACUACAUUGUUCAAGGAUGUUAGUCUCGCGGAUGAAGCCGUGGUAGAUGGUGGCCAAUGUUUACCUCUUGGGGUUAGGACAAGCUCUCACCGUGAUUUGGUAGACGACAAGAACCGGAUUGCUAAGGUUCUAAGUUCGACAGCUUGUUGGAAUUGA
rnacentral:rRNA from 1 species